rnacentral:lncRNA from 1 species
GUGACCCCUCUGGGGACGUCCUAUGAAUGCAGUCAUAUGCUAUCUGUCCUUUGUGCCUGGCCUAUGUCACUCAGCACGGAGUCUUCGAGGUCCCUCCGUAUUGGAGCCAGGGUCAGGCUGGGCUUCCUCUUCGGGGCUGAGUAAUAUUCCACAGUGAACUGACGCUCCUUCCCCCAGCACGAGACCGUCGGGUCGGGCACGGAGUCUUAGCUCUCUGUUUCUUCCCUGUGCUGAUCUUGGACCCUCGCCCCGAGUGAGCCCAACUCAGGAUGUAUUUAUGGAAGAAAAGACUGGAGGCCAAGCACCUGGGUGUGUGCCCUGCUUCUGCCACUUGCUGGCUGGGUGGGCUCGGCAGGUGGCUGCUCUCUCUGAGCCUCUGUCUCCUCAGUGACUCACUCACGGGGCCGCUGCAGGCAUAAAUGUGAGGACCACCCUGCAAAGCGGGGGUGCAUGGGGGUGCAGACUCUUUCUGAGUCCACCCCAAGCCCCGAAGUGGUGGCCGUCCUCUGCCUGACCCCAGCCUGACCCAUCCACCCUGCAGCAGGGGGCCGAGUGGCAGCUGCGGCGUGGUCUCCGCACGGGGUACGGGAUCCUUCCGUCAGCCCAUCUCCUGGGAUGAGGCAUUGACCCCCACGCUCUGGGCCUGGUCCUUCCUCUGAUCAGACCCUGAGCCGAGCAGGCAGGGAGCGCGAGAGCGGGCUCUGCACCGUGUCAUUUCGGACGUGUGAUAACUGCUGGGGAGACCGAGGCUCUGGAUGCCUGAGGGGACGAGGACAAGGGUGUCCGAGUCGAGAAGGCGAGCAUCCAUCCAGGGGGCUGUGUGACCCCAGGCGAGUCCCCUGGAGGUGAGAACAGGGGCUGUGGGGGCAGACGAGACGGCCUGGCUUAAACCUCCGGGCAACCCCGAGCUUCUCCGGUGGCCUUGGGGACCUCAUGAACGGCUCUGACCUCGGUGUCCCUGUCUGUACCCGUAACGGUUCCCAUCCUUUUCUGGGGCUGUGGUCGGACUGGACCCACUGAGGCUGGGGGUGCUUGGCACGAGCUCAGUCCCCCGGGAGCCUUCCUGGCUUUGUCCCUGCUCUGUCAGCUUCGGUGCCUUUGUCUGGAAACUGGGGAGGCCCCUGCCCCUUGAGCGGCCCGUGCAUCGCUUUUCUCCCAGCCGCUCUAGGUCUGGGGGGCCGGUCAAGCCAUCUUUCCCGGGUGGGGAACUUCUCAACCGUGUUUCUUCCAAACUUUGCCCCCUCCCCCGUGAGCUCCAGGUAGCCGACCCUCUACCUGCCUCCCCACUUGGGUGGCUCACGGGUACGCGCACCGGGCAUGGCCCCUGUGGGCCCUGGGUUUCAGGCCCCCUGCCCCUUGCCCUGUCCUUGCCGUCCCCACUCAGUAAAGGUACCACCGUCCACCCAGGGGCUCAGGCCAGAACCGCAUCGUCGACCCCUCCCAGCCUGCACUGCUCAGACCCGGCCCCUCGCCCAAGCCGACCGCUCUCCCCU